GCCCGCCUAGCUCAAUCGGAUAGAGCGUCAGACUCUUAUCCAGCUUGGUUUGGAGCCAUCUGAAGGCUGCGAGUUCGACCCUCGCGGUGGGCU